CAAUAUCUUUGCUCUAUUGCUGGACCUUUUUAAGAAGAGAUUGGAUAACUGUUUAUCUAAAAUAUUACAGGGCCUCAUGCUUGGGCAGGGGGUUGGAGUAGAAGUCUUCCAAAAUUCCCUUCUAACUAUCCCCAUGUAUUC